UCCAGCGGUGGUCAGCUGUCUGUGUCAGUACCAUGUCUGUGACAGUGUUACACUGCUGGGAGAUAAAGGUACUGUCUGUUUUAGCUGUCUGUCAGUACCUCUGUUCUGGGGGCAACUGACACCAGUGUGGGACAGUACUGUGCUUCUUCGAGAGUGUGCUGAGCAGUUGAUAUCCUGUUCAGUCCUAGUUUUGAAGCAUACAGA